GGACGAACGCUGGCGGCGUGCCUAACACAUGCAAGUCGAACGGAGUUAUUGUUAGAUCCCUUCGGGGUGACGAACUUUAACUUAGUGGCGGACGGGUGAGUAACGCGUGAGUAACCUGCCUCUGAGAGGGGAAUAACGUUCUGAAAAGAUCGCUAAUACCACAUAACAUAUCGAAGCCGCAUGGCUUUGAUAUCAAAGAUUUUAUCGCUCGGAGAUGGACUCGCGUCCGAUUAGCUUGUUGGCGGGGUAACGGCCCACCAAGGCGACGAUCGGUAGCCGGACUGAGAGGUUGAUCGGCCACAUUGGGACUGAGACACGGCCCAGACUCCUACGGGAGGCAGCAGUGGGGGAUAUUGCGCAAUGGGGGCAACCCUGACGCAGCAACGCCGCGUGAAGGAAGACGGUUUUCGGAUUGUAAACUUCUUUUGUCAGGGACGAAUUCUGACGGUACCUGACGAAUAAGCUCCGGCUAACUACGUGCCAGCAGCCGC
rnacentral:rRNA from 1 species